UAGUGGCCGAGUGGUAACGCAGCCGACCGGCAUCCGUGUGGUCGGCGGUUCGAACCCCAGUCUGCC
rnacentral:tRNA from 16 species